rnacentral:rRNA from 1 species
UACGUAGGGGGCAAGCGUUGUCCGGAAUCAUUGGGCGUAAAGAGCGUGUAGGCGGCCCGAUAAGUCCGCUGUGAAAGUCCAGGGCUCAACCCUGGAAUGCCGGUGGAUACUGUCGGGCUCGAAUCCGGAAGAGGUGAGUGGAAUUCCUGGUGUAGCGGUGAAAUGCGCAGAUAUCAGGAGGAACACCAAUGGCCGAAGGCAGCUCACUGGGACGGUAUUGACGCUGAGACGCGAAAGCGUGGGGAGCAAACAGG